rnacentral:tRNA from 1 species
AGAGACAUGGCUCAGUGGUUAAGAGCACUGACUGUUCUUCCAGAGGACCUGGGUUCAAUUCCCAGCAUCUGCA